GUGGGGAAUAUUGCGCAAUGGACGAAAGUCUGACGCAGCGACGCCGCGUGUGGGAUGAAGCCUUUCGGGGCGUAAACCACUGUUGCCCGGGACGAACCUCCCCAUUCGUGGGGACUGACGGUACCGGGUGAGGAAGCACCGGCUAACUCUGUGCCAGCAGCCGCGGUAAUACAGAGGGUGCGAGCGUUGUCCGGAAUCACUGGGCGUAAAGGGCGCGUAGGUGGCUAGGUAAGCGUGUGGUGAAAGUCCGGGGCUCAACCCCGGAUCUGCCGUGCGAACUGCCAAGCUUGAGCGAUGUAGAGGCAGGUGGAAUUUCGGGUGUAGCGGUGGAAUGCGUAGAGAUCCGAAAGAACACCAGUGGCGAAGGCGGCCUGCUGGGCAUUUGCUGACACUGAGGCGCGACAGCGUGGGGAGCAAACAGGAUUAGAUACCCGAGUAGUCC
rnacentral:rRNA from 1 species